ensembl:lncRNA
GGCAGGGAAGAAUUGCAGAUUUAGGGAAAGUUAAUCGUAGGAGUUGUAUAAAAUCCUUAACCUCUUGCAGCCUGAGCAGCCGUGAGGGGAGAUGCUCCUCCAGCCCCCGAAGCAAGGUAAAGCCUUGGUGCUGGGCAGGGGGAGCCUCUCUGCCUGGGAGGAAUUAGAGCUUGGCCGUGAUGAAGCGCUAAUUGCAGCAUUGAAACAAAUUGGCUCAGUGGGCGCAGGAUAACCUUUUUCCUGCUGCCCAACAUGCUUAUCUGCUGCAGACAGACUGGCAAGAUGAACAGGAAAGCUGAUACCUUAUCUCUCCCUCUCAAGGAGCUUAUUUAAGUGCUGGAAUGCGUCGAAAUGGUAAAUGAUUGUUACAAUCCAAGUGAGGUACAUGGACCUACAGACAGGCCCUGCUGGGAGGCAGCACCCAUUUAGGAAGGAGACCCACAAGACUACAAGAUUUGAGGGCUUUUCCAUCUUUUAUCUAUCUAAAGACAUCUCCUGAAGUGCAAAACAGUUGUUUAAAACCAAAGGUAUGUGCUCCUUGUCAGCCCGUGGGUUGACACAGUGGGCUGCUCCCGGCUGCAUGUGGUUGCUUGGUCCCUCUGAUAUGGCUUAUCUGUGUUUGUCUGCUCAGCACUGAGCGAGGGGCACGGCGAGGGUUAAUGCCAUAUCUGCAUAGCACCACGCUGCUCCUGCUUGCCCCUCCAUCCAGGCUCAGAGCAGGAAGCAGUACGAUGCUGACACGUCCAUAAAGGUAGAUAGACUGGAGAGCUAUCGGGCUAAUUGGAAUGAGCUGGGCUUAGCUGCUCAGGCAGCCCAGCACCACAGAACGAGACCUCUCCGGGGAUGCAGAAUGCAGCAGAGCCACAGCACUUCACCUCUUUCAGCCGCUGCAAGUGGCAGCGACAGCAAUAGCAAUUGCAGGCGCCGGGGGCUGAGCGCUGUGACAGCAGAAGGGACAGGGAAAGCCCGUGCUGUCAGUGUGAUGUCCCCAGCAGCUGCUGCGGAGGGGUGCGACGGGGUAUUUUGGUCCGGUCCUGGGUGGAAAAAGAGACGGUGAUGCCGGGUGCCAGGAGCACUGCUGGGGCAGGGCUUGGGCUCAGGUUGCUCCCGCUGCUCCAGGCACACAGCAGCCUCUGGAGAAACUGCACCUCGGCAAUACACACAGCUGCCACGGGCUGCUGCAUCGGAAAGUUAAUCAGUUCCACAUCACUGACCGCUUUUCCAUUGCGAAGCAGAAGGAACUGCCAUCCCAGAGCAGAGCUCAGCCUGCCCACGUUGCAGGGCUGAGGGCUUCAGCAGAAGCACAGGUGACAUUGUGGCAGCCAGGAUGAGACAAGGCUCUUUCUGGGACAUCUGACCUCUAACCUGCAGCUUUUAUCCCCUGCAAAAAUCUUUCAAUUAGACAGAGUGAUGUGCGUGUCUGCAAGAUCUUCCGUGUUCUCCUUGUGCUUUGUAAUGUCCCUGGCUCCAUCCCUUUGGAUGGCAGCAGGACAGCAGCCCCAUCACAGCCUAUUUGGGGGCUGAAGAGAGGACCCUACAGGGAAGCAGGACUGCAGGCAAAGGCCAUGGUGCUCAUUUGUUUCCCUACAAUGUGAUCCAAUUAUAUUGACAGG